rnacentral:lncRNA from 1 species
GGUCUCACCUAAACACAGACAGAUAUGCCAUGCCUACUUGCACGCCUCGAAUAUGCAUUUAUAUGCAUCUACAUAUGUUCACAUUGAGAUAUAUGUGAAGGAAUCCAAGGGACUUCCUGUUUCAUUAACCAAGUCAUAAGACGCUUCUGAGAUGAGACCACCAAGGAAAACUUGUGGAAACAGUUUGGCCUUGCGACUCCGACUGUCGUUUCAAGGCUCUCCCAGAUGUGUGUCGCUCGACAGACGAGGUACACACUUUGUUGCCGUCUAUGCCUUUCAGGCGCACGGUCUUGGUCGCCUCCAUUAAAGUGUUCGAAAGAUGUUUUCGGCUGGAAAACUUUUUGCUGUCCCUGGCGCGUCUGGGGGGGGGGGGGCGCCAGCAAUUCAAUCGGCGCUGUUUUUUGCGAAAACGACUCUAGACUGACGAGGCAAAUGCAGAAGAGAGAAAACCCAACCGUAUCCGUCCAUGAUUUUGUGGAAAAAUGCGCGUUUCUGUGGACGGCACUCGAAAAAAGCGCCGAGAUCCCCAAACUCCCUUGUCGAGAGUUGCUGUAAAACUCUAGCUGUGGACAUGGCGAGACAGCCUCAAGAGAAGUCGCUUUUUUCACCGGGAAAGACCUAUUCUCACCGGGAAAGACCUAUUCUCACCGGGAAGGACCUAUACGUGACGCUGGGGAUUCGGUCAAGCAGUUCACCACAGAACACCUCUUUUUGUCAAACCGACGACACAGGCAAACUGGGAAUUCCCGCUUCUACACUACGGGAGGAGAUACGCAUACCACUUCAUUUCAC